rnacentral:rRNA from 1 species
AUGAACGCUGGCGGCGUGCCUAAUACCUGCCAGUCGAGCGAACGGACGAGAAGCUUGCUUCUCUGAUGUUAGCGGCGGACGGGUGAGUAACACGUGGAUAACCUACCAAUAAGACUGGGAUAACUUCGGGAAACCGGAGCUAAUACCGGAUGAUAUUUUGAACCGCAUGGUUCAAAAGUGAAAGACGGUCUUGCUGUCACUUAUAGAUGGAUCCGCGCUGCAUUAGCUAGUUGGUAAGGUAACGGCUUACCAAGGCAACGAUGCAUAGCCGACCUGAGAGGGUGAUCGGCCACACUGGAACUGAGACACGGUCCAGACUCCUACGGGAGGCAGCAGUAGGGAAUCUUCCGCAAUGGGCGAAAGCCUGACGGAGCAACGCCGCGUGAGUGAUGAAGGUCUUCGGAUCGUAAAACUCUGUUAUUAGGGAAGAACAUAUGUGUAAGUAACUGUGCACAUCUUGACGGUACCUAAUCAGAAAGCCACGGCUAACUACGUG